rnacentral:lncRNA from 1 species
AGCUGCUUGCUGUCCACAGUGUGGCAGCCACUGGCCAGAGGGAGCCAUUUAUGUUUGAUUGAAUUCAAUCCGUAGUUAGGUCUGCCUCUUGCAGUGAACACAACAAAGCAGCCAGUGGUUCACUCACACACGCCACCACGCAAGUGUGUCCGUGCAGCUGGAAUUUCAACCUGGAGCUGAGACCUCCAGAUGGACUCCUAGAAGGGUGACGUGUAAAGCUGCAUCCCUCAGCAGCCCACGAUCUUGGCAGGUUUGCCACUGUGACCAAUGUUUUAUUGAAGCUUCUGAGGCCGUAGAGCACAGGGAAGUUCCGAGCACACAGAGGACAAGCCAGGGCGGUGCUGUGUGGCCCAAAACAACCUUAGUAGGAGACAUGAGUGGGGGACGGUUUCUAACACCUUGAUUCCUCAUGUCUGUGUUUCUGCAGUGUGGAGCAUUGUGAGUCUGUGUGGCAGCAACCACGAAGAAAGUGAUACAGGUAAGAAUAGCUCUCAGGUAGGGGCCAGUGGGAGAGGGUUCGCGGGACACUUGGGUUAUGCCUGCUGCUUGGAGGGUGGGGCGGGUGAGUCUGCAAUUGAAAAACAGAAAGAAAUUGGUGUAAAGAUGUUCGUCGCCUAUUUUCCUAAGGAGGGGGAGCAGGUAUGAGAUGCCCGAAUGUUGGCAUCUGUGCUCGCAUUGUGUUGAAGGGUCUCAGUCCUGGAGCAGAGGGACGGUCUGGGCACCUGGAGGAAAAACCAGGGUGAUGCUCUGUGACCUGCUAUCACCUCGGGGAAGCGGGGGAAACGGGAGGGCCACUCCUUCUCACGCCUCGCUUCCCCGCGGUGUGUUUCUACAGACUUGGUGGCGGAGAGCACCGACUGCCGCCAGGAUGAGGAGGCUGCAGAAUCUUGCUUUGGGAGGAAAGGAUCUUGCUGCAGGAGUCUGAGGAUAUGUUUGUCCUCUGUGAGCUUGGCUAGAAUAAUCCCAUGGUGGCCACACAACAGAGUGCACCUGCCACUGAGCCAGACGAAGAUACUGUGGAACC